rnacentral:rRNA from 1 species
GGCGGGGGGGUCCUAGCGUUGUUCGGAAUUAUUGGGCGUAAAGCGUGUGCAGGUUGUCUGAAAAGUUAGAUGUGAAAUCCUUGGGCUCAACCCAAGACGUGCAUUUAAAACUGCCAGACUUGAAUAUCGAAGAGGUUCGUGGAAUUCCAGGUGUAGUGGUGAAAUACGUAGAUAUCGGAGAACACCGGCGGCGAAGGCGGACGAACUGGUCGAAGUAUU